UGAUAGGGAAGAGUUGUGGCGUUAAAUGUGCUGUAUAAUGACGUACACUAUAUGUCAGGAUCUGUAGAGUCAAUCUGUUGAAUAGUUUGAUACGUUGCUCACACAGAUAUGAAUUCAAUAAGAAGUGAUGAGUGAAAAAAAUGUCAUAUGAUGCCAAAUUAAUUAUUUAAUACAUGUGAUUACGACGAAUUUCAAACAUUAUAUGUAGCCGCUUCGUAAACUGGCUAAUGCAGUUUGUGCUGCAGAUCAUCAAAUUGCAGAGACAAUUCUACCACUACAAAAAUAUAAUUCCAAUUCACUAGUAUAUAAGACAUGUUAACUCAAUUCUGUGGUGGGGUGCCUUUUCAUAGAUGAAGGUUGACAUGGUUGAUAACUACUAUCCCCACAUUGGUGACCCGGACGUGAUGUGAAAAUGCCUACCUUGAUAGAAACUCCCACUUUGAUAUGAACACGCCUAUCUUGACAGAAACUCCCACUUCGAAUUGAACACGCCUACUUUAAUGGAUGGUCCACAUUGAACAGUUGACUUGCAACUUGUGACUGCGGCAUUUUUCACCUCUUCACGCUAUUGCUACUCAGUCUCAAUUGCACACACAACGUCGGCCUGUAUACACUCGACUGCUAAUAGCAACAUAAGAGCAACCAUGACGGUGAACAAAACAACAAUGAGUCAAGUACUGGUAUCCGUUCAUCGAAUUCUAUCAGAUAUAAUUCUGGUGGGGGAGUACUAUAGUGUAUCUACCACAACAAAAAUACAAUUCUAAUUCACUAGUAUAUAGGACUUGUUUACUCGAUUCUAUGAUGGGGUACCUUUUCAUAGAUGACGGUUGACAAUGCCGAUAGCACUCGCCCCACCGCCUAAUUUUCGUUGUGGGAAGAGAUUCAUUGGAGGCAAACUUGACUGUGAAAGUAUAAACAUUUUGAAAAUUACAUCUUGUACAAUUCUUUUUUUAGAAUUUCCAUCCAGUUUUGUAAGUAUUUGAUUGAACAAUUGCCGUCCAUCAGAAUAAAAUUGUCAGUAAGUUCAGAAUGGAGGGCGAAACUCAAAGCCUCUCUGAUGGCAAGAUCUGAGCGAACAUUCGAACAGUUGUCUGUGUUGCGAAACCUGCAAUGAAAAUUCAAACCAACCUCUAAUUUAGCGUAGACACAGUUGCCAAACCUACCGGAGUGCAAUUUACUACUAUCAGUGAAAAUUACUAGGGCCUGAGAUGGGAUGUAUGGUUCAGAUUUAAGGUUUUUUUGGUACAAUGAAUCAUCUUUAAUUGCUAAAUAUUAAGUAUCACUAUAGUGAAAGUAAAUUGAAAACUAGCAUAUAUAUCUGUUUCAUUCGCCUACCAAGUCUCCUUAUUUACUAAUUCUAGACUCAACCCGAGCGAAAAUUAAAUUUAAUCUGAUCCGACAAAAAAAUUGAAGGUAUAUCAGUUGAACGAAUGCCUAGAAAAGCCUUUUUUACCUCUGAACUAUACAGAUUAAUAACAGAAGGGCAGAGCGUGUGGAGACUGGUAACCUCAAAAAUGUGACAGUGCUGCCGAGGGUUCAAGACUAGAAAGAGGCCACAACUUUGAAAAACGUAAAAUAAUUGCAGAGGAACAUGGAGGGAAAUCGCUAGCGGAAUUAAAAGGUCACCAUCAGUUAAAUCUUUUCGUCAGAUGUUUUACAGGGAGGGAUGAAAGUUUCUUGGUGAAACCUUGUACCCCUCUAAUCUUCAUCGUAAUCGCCAAGGAUAUAGAAGAAAAGAUCAAAUCAGUAGAAAGACUCUUGGAAGUGAGAACAAAUGGAGAAGAUAGGACAAUUUAGAACCUUGUCAAGACAUCUAAAAUAUACUUUUUGAAAAUUUUCUUUUACAGUCUAAUAUUGUGAAUAUUUUUAAUGCGAUACAAAAAGCAAGCUGUAUAUGUGUUUAACAUUAAUCAUAUAUGAUUGCUCAACGUUAAACCCCUAUUUAGGUUAAACCUCAUAAUUCCUAAAAAUAUUCUUAAGUAUAUGGAUUUAAGUGAUCUUAUAAUAUUGUAUUUAAUACGAAUAGUUCUAAGCCAGUGAUGUAAUUAAAAGACUAUUUCGUGUGUG